rnacentral:rRNA from 1 species
CAAAACCAUGGCUCCUUGUAAGUAAAAAAUAAGGAGUCGGACCUGCCCAGUGAAUUUUUUUUAACGGCCGCGGUACUCUGACCGUGCAAAGGUAGCAUAAUCAUUUGCCUUAUAAUUGAGGGCUAGUAUGAAUGGUUUGACAAGAAUGGAGCUGUCUCUUUACAGCUAAGUAAAAUUUUAUUUAUAGGUGAAGAAGCCUAUAUUGAAUUAAAAGACAAGAAGACCCUAUCGAGCUUUAAAAGAAUUAAUAGACGUGUAAUCGAUAUAGCUAUAAGAUUAGCUAUUAAAAAUUUUAGUUGGGGCGACUGAGGAACAAAAAAAGCUUCCUUUAAAUAGUAAAUUAACACAAAACAUACAAGUAUUGAUCCAGAAUAAUCUGAUUAACGAAAUUAGUUACCGUAGGGAUAACAGCAUUAUCUUUUUUAAGAGUUCUUAUCGAAAAAAAGGUUUGUGACCUCGAUGUUGGACCAGAAUGUCCUAAAGAUGCAGCAGUCUUUAAGGGUUGGUCUGUUCGACCAUUAAAAUUCUACCUGA